rnacentral:lncRNA from 1 species
GGUAGCCUGCAGUAUACUUUUACCAAUAAUGGGUUAGGAAGGUUGCUUUAAAUUGAAAGAAACACAGCUUUAGAUUCAUAUGUAUGUAAAAGUAAUGGGGAUUAAAGGAACAAAAUGUGAUGAAGGCUCAUCUUCCGUUCUCAUUAUGACAAAUAGCAACCCAUUUCCCUCUUCUUUUUUUCACAAAAUGGGUGUAAAUGCCCAAAUUUGCUCUGGUCCAUUACAAUAAUAAAAAAAUAAAUAAAGUCCAAGACAAAGAAACAGUCCAAUUACAAGAGGGGCCCAAAUGUAAAGUAUGCUUGGCCCAAGGCACUACCCAAUUUUACAAGCCCAACCCCUAGUCCAAAUUUAUUAGAAAAAGAAGAAACCCUAGGGUUCCUAUACCAGUAUCUCGCGUCGCUCCUUCAUGUGCUGGCCUCAUCGUGCACAACGCUCGAGAAAUAAGCUCCGUCCCAAAGCCCGUACCACCAGCUCCGACUCUACCUGCAAAAUGGAAAAGAAACACGCAAAGCAGAAAAGGAGCAACAGACGCAAACAGUAGCAGAGACAAAGAAAAAUAAUAUUUUUCUAAUGUUGUAAUCGGCUAUAAAGUCGAAAAGAAAUCAUUUGUAAUAGGGGGAUUUUGGAGAAUACAAAAAAUAUUGUAUCACACACAUUUUCAGAAUCAAAAAGCCAAAAAAUAAAAAAGGGAGUUAAGGUUCUUAUUUUUUCUUUUAUUUUUCUUAUUUUCGAAUCGGUUUCCUCAUAUAUAUAAUAAAAAUAAGAAAGAAGAAGAGGGCUUACCCUUUUUUAGACCGUCGAGAAAAAAGGGGAAGAUUUUGCGACACGGCGGCCGGCGUGACGGUGGACAGCAGGUACCGGCGCCGGAGUUCUCGCCGGAGCUCGCAGACAAAGGGAGAGAGGAGAGCAUUUGAGAGAAUCUGUUUUUUUUUUUUGAAGAAGUGAGAAAAAUGAAUUUUUUUUUAAAAAAAAUUGGUUUAUAUAAUGAUGCAAAACGGCCCGUUUUGGGCCUUAGCUUUAGGCGCCAAAACGACGCCGUUUCAGUCCAUGCCCAUGCGACCCGACCUGAUCGAUGAAGGAUCCGC